UCCCGACGUUGCUUAACUUUGGUCAAAAAUCACGUUUGUUGUAUGGGAGCCCCAUUUAAAUCUUUAUUUUAUUCUGUUUUUAGUAUUUGUUGUUAUAGCGGCAACAGAAAUACAUCAUCUGUGAAAAUUUCAACUGUCUAGCUAUCACGGUUCGUGAGAUACAGCCUGGUGACAGACGGACGGACGGACGGACGGACGGACGGACAGCGAAGUCUUAGUAAUAGGGUCCCGUUUUACCCUUUGGGUACGGAACCCUAAAAACUAGUACUUAGGGUUAUAAUCGCCGAAAUCUAAAAAAUUGCGGUUUAUUCGAUUUUUGACAAAGUUGCGUUCGGCGCUCGAGGUCACAAACUUGGAUUAUUCAUUGGGCCAACAUCAUAAACAAGCCUGCAAAAAAUCAUAACUACCGGAUUUGACGCAAACGCAAAAUGUAUAAUUUUACUGUAUUAAUGAGGUUUCUGAAAAACUUGAUACACUACGGGUAUUGUUAUCCAGUUAUACCAUACAUCAUAAACAUAAAUAAAUUCCAUCAAAUCUACCACUGUGUUGCCAGUAAAAUGAAACAUUCUAUUUAUAGAGGAUAUAUUAUUGGCGAAAGAAUACACGUAAGUAAAUAAUUUACUACUAAUUUUAAAUUCAACAUUUAAAUGCUUAGUUUAAAUAAUCGGACAUAUAAAAAAGUAGUUUUUUAAUUUGUAUUGAAUCAUAACUAUUUUGAGGUAGAAUUGUUCGUAUUGAAAUGGUAACCCUUCCGGUCUAAACAACAUUACUUUUCUUGGUAGAUUUGACAGAAUUUAUUUGUGAAUGAUGGUAUAGUUUAUAAAUAGGUCUAGGUUAAAAUUUUCUAGUAGCAUAGCCCUGUCAAUCCCUAGAAAUGUGUCUUUUUUGUAAUGGAUGGAUGCUCUGGAUGCCAGACCUUUAAGCCAAAUCUCAUAGAAGAAAUUUCUUUCUGUAUGCACUUGAGGGCAAUGUCCCCCGUAGCCAAUCAAAUAAUAAAACUAACUUAUCAUUUCAUUUGUUUUCUAAAAUACUGCCAUAAACAAAAAUAACUGAAUGAAGUGAAUAGGGCUUUAUUAAAUUGCACAACGGGACUUAAUCGCGUAUUUAAGUUUUGAGAUUAAUACUACUAGGUUGUACCACAGAAUAAAUAAUAGUACUAGGUGCAGAAGACUGACUCUAACAAAACGCGUCUGUCACGAUCAGCACAGACAUGGCCGCUAGGUGGCGACAGCGCCACGCGCCCUUAAUUUAUUAUAUAAUACACUCAAAACUCAUCGCAGAGAGCUUGUAGUGUAUAUCUUAAAUAAUUGUCAUUAUUAUUAAUUAUUAAAUAAAUCGCCUUUGUAGCUUUAUAGCGCUUAUAACAGCUAUUAUAUAUAGUUCGUUUAUUUAGCAUUAUAAAUAUUUUAUAAAUUGAAAAACACUUUAAAAAUAAGUCACGGCAAAUAAUACGAUCAUUUAUAUUCUUCUGCUUUCAUAUAAUAAUAGUGAUUUAUUUAUAAAAAGAGUUUUUCAACUAUUAUAGGACAUGUCAAGAUCGC